CCCGCCGCUCCCGUCGUGCCUCGCGCUCCCGUGGUAGCCCCGCGGCCAUGGCGGGACCGUGGGGGCGGCUGGUGGCGGCGCUGGGACCCCCCGGGGACCGGGACCCCCCCCCGCUGCGUGCGCUCCGCCGGCCACGCCCCGCGCCACGUCAUCAGACGGAGCUUCUGCUGCUGCUGCUGGAGUCCCCACGGGAGCUGUGCGGGGGGGGGAGCUCCGUGGGGGGGUCCCCAGAAUGGGGGGACUCCGUGGGGGAGGUGGGGGGGGCCCUGCUGACCCUGUUGACCCUCCCACCCGCUCCUCCCCCCGCCCCCCCCCGCUCCCUCCUCCUUUUGGCCACCCUUACCUUCCUCUUGGCUACCGGGGAUGUGGGGGGGGCGGCGGUUUUUGGGGCGCUGUUGGUGGAAGGGGGGGUUACGGGGGGGGCCCCAGCGACCGUGGCUGAAUGUCUGCGGGAAUUACGGCGCAUGCGGAUUCCUGGUACUCCCCCCCGAAACCUGGGACCCCUAUGGAGAUGCCAGCGGGAGACCCCCGGGAUCCUGCCCUUGACCUUGCUGCUGGCUGAGGAGGGAAGGGAUCCCGCGGAUCCCCACGACGAGGCCGGGACGGAUCCUGCCCCCCCCUCCGCCUUCCUCCUCACCCCGGCCGCCCGCGCCCAGCUCCUCCGCCACCAAAACGGGGGGGGGGCCCUGGGGGGGGCCCUCCCUUACGCCACGGGGGACCCCGCCCCCCUCCACGCCACCCUCCUGAAAGGGGGGGGCUGUUUUGGGGGGCUCCCCCCCCCCCGUUUAGCCACUUUAGCCUUACAUCCCGCUUUGCCCCCCCCCUUACGCCUCUUCUACCUGCUCUGCUUAUUAGAGGGGGGGGCCCUAAAAAAACCCGGGGGGCCCCCCCCACCCCUGCCCCCCCACUUCACUGCUGCCCUUUUCCCAGGGGGAGGGGACCCCCCCGAAAUAUUUUUACCCCGUUUCGAGGCAGCAGCAGCUUUUUGCUCUCAAAAUGGGGGGGUCCGACAUAAAGGGGGGGGCCAGGGAUGGUUAUGGGGGUUGGUGGUUGCUUUAGGGGGGGGGGCCCCCAUUUUAUUUUGCCGGGCAGUUGUCGCUUAUAACCGAUGGUUUGGGGGGGACAUCGGUGACAAAUUGGGGGGGGCAGCUGAAAAAUUAUUGGGGGGGGGUCACCCUACCGGCCCCCCCCAUUUAUUAGAGUUGGCGAAAGUUUUGGGGGGCCCUCUAGGGGGCGCCCUACGGGGGAAGGUUUUUAGGACCCCCCCUCCCCCCCCCCGGGACCCCUCAGCUUCGGGGGGUCCUAAAGGUGUUGACGACCCCCCCGCUCCCCCCCCCCCGGGGGGAUCCCCAAAUCCGGGGGUACCUACGGAGGGUGAUGGCGGCAGAAAAGGGGGGCUGGGGGGGGGGGGCAGGGGGUGUUGAGCGCCGCUGCCCCCCUCCUCUCUUUUUGGGGAUCCCCCCUUUUACCCUCCCCCACUUUCGGACCCCCCCUUUUUUUUGGGGUUGGGGGGGACCCCGACGUUGGCGAUCGCGCCCGCCUUCACGCCGCCCUGGCCGCCGCUUUGGGCCCCCCCAAAUUAGCCGCCGUUUUGGGGACCCACCCCCGUUCUUCCGCCCCCCGUCCCCCCCAGGAUGUUGGGGGGGGGGCAGGGGGAGGGCCCCCCACCCUCCUGCCUGCACUCGCCCCCCCUUGCUGCCUGCACUGCCUGCCCGGCCCCCCCCCUCCCUUCCCUGCCCCCCCUGGGGCCCCCCAAAAUCCCGAGGGGUGGGGGAGGGCGGUGGCCACCCGGGGGGGGCCGGUGUCGGUCAGGCUGCGGUUACGGGUGGAGCUUUUGGGGGGGGCCCUAGAUGGGGACCCCCCCCACGGGAAGGACCCCCCCCACGGUGGAGGACCCCCCCUCCCCCAUCCUGCCCCCCCCCCCCAGUGCAGGACCCCCUCCCUCGGCUGCGACCCCUCCCCCCCCCAUCCUGGCCCUGCAGGUGCGGGUGGGGGGCUGCACCCCCCGGGACCCCUCCCCCACCGAAGGGCGCCUGGUGGGGCUGGGGGGGGGAGGGGCCGAGCUGGCCCUCACCCUCCGCCCCCACCUCCCCCUGCCCCCCACCCUUGACGUCACCGCUAUUUUCACCCCGGGGGGGGGAGGGAGGGGAUGCCGGGGUGGGGGAGGGGUCCUGUUCGCGCCCCUCCCCCCCCUCCCCCUCCCUUUAGAGGUCCAGCUCCGCCCCCUCGCCCUGCCCCCCCCGUGGGACCCCCCCCGGCGCCGUCGGGCUUUCGCCUCCAUGUGGGGGGCGCUGGGGGGGCACCCCGAAAGCCGCUUGGUUUUACAAAGUGUGGGGGGGGGCCCUCCCCCCGCCCUCGCCCCUUUUCUGCUGGAUGGGGGAGGGGCGGAGGGGUGGGUGGCGGCGGCCGCCCUCCCCCCCCGGGGGGUGGUUUUGGUGAGGGGGGGGGCGGGGGGGGGAUGGGUGGAGCUGAGGUGUCAGCGCUGGUGGGGGGUGGUGGCCCUGGCCAGGCUGCUGCGGGGGGAGGGGCGGGCGUGACACGGCGUGACGUGGCCUGUCGGGGCACGUCGACACGUGGCGGGGCCGUGGCGGGGUGUGUUGGGUCCCGACAUGGCGUGACCUGGCGCGUCAGGGCCAAUCGACAGGCGUCGAGGCGUGACGAGGCGUAUCGGGGCGUGUCAAGGCGCGACGGGGCGUGUCAGGGCGUGUCGACGUGUGUCAGGGCGUGGUACGCUGGGCCGUGAGACGGCGCGACAUGGCAUGAAACAGCGCGUCGGGGGCCUGUCGGGGGCGCGUCGACAUGUGUCGGGCGCAUGACAAGGCGUGAUGGAGCGUGUCAGGGCGUGGUCCCCGUCAUGUUUCCCCCCCCUGCCGGUGUUGUCACCCCAUGUCAACACGAGGAGCGCAGAGCUGGUGUCCGUCCAUCUGUCCAGCGCGGGGGGGUCCCAUGGGUGGGGAGGGAUCCAUGGGGGGCUGGGGGGGGGUCCCUGUGAGGGUGGGGGGCGAUCUGGGGGGGCCCUUUGGGGUUGGGGGGCCCAGAGGCACUGGGGGGGGAUCUGGGGGGGGCCCUGUAGGGAUGGGGAGGGACAUGGGGGGAUCCAUGGAGCUGGGGGGGGGGGGGGGGUGUCCCUGCGGGGUUGGGGUCGGGCCCGGGCCCAGCCGCUUCCCCUCCUCCCGGAACUACAACUCCCAUCAUGUCCCGCACCGGAAGCAACAGAGUCACCGCAUCUCAAAAACUCCAGCACUUCCGCUUCCGGUCUGUCCCGCCAUGGCGGCUGGGGUGAAGCUGUUGGCGGCUCCCGGCGCGGUGCAGCCCCAGUUACCGGCCCAGCUCCUGCCCUGCCGGGUGCUGCACGACGGGCCCGCGCCUGUGGCCGCUUUCCUGCGGGUCCAACCCGGUUCUGGUGGUGAUCCACGCGCCCGUGAGCGAUGACAGUGAUGAGGAGGCAGAGCCCUGACAGACCUCACCCCCUCCUACAACGCCCCUCCCCAUGUGGGUGGGGCUAUGUAUGUACACACACGCACGCACAUAUAUAUAUAUAUA